rnacentral:rRNA from 1 species
GAUGAACGCUGGCGGCGUGCUUAACACAUGCAAGUCGAACGGUGAACACGGAGCUUGCUCUGUGGGAUCAGUGGCGAACGGGUGAGUAACACGUGAGCAACCUGCCCCUGACUCUGGGAUAAGCGCUGGAAACGGCGUCUAAUACUGGAUAUGUGACGUGACCGCAUGGUCUGCGUUUGGAAAGAUGUUUCGGUUGGGGAUGGGCUCGCGGCCUAUCAGCUUGUUGGUGAGGUAAUGGCUCACCAAGGCGUCGACGGGUAGCCGGCCUGAGAGGGUGACCGGCCACACUGGGACUGAGCCACGGCCCAGACUCCUACGGGAGGCAGCAGUGGGGAAUAUUGCACAAUGGGCGCAAGCCUGAUGCAGCAACGCCGCGUGGGGGAUGACGGCCUUCGGGUUGUAAACCUCUUUUAGCAGGGAAGAAGCGAAAGUGACGGUACCUGCAGAAAAAGCGCCGGCUAACUACGUG